AAGACGACGUAUAGGGUCUGACGCCUGCCCGGUGCCUGAAGGUUAAGAGGAGGUGUGCAAGCACCGAAUUGAAGCCCAGGUAAACGGCGGCCGUAACAAUAACGGUCCUAAGGUAGCGAAAUUCCUUGUCGGGUAAGUUCCGACCUGCACGAAUGGCGUAACGACUUCCCCACUGUCUCCAGGAGAUGCUCAGCGAAAUUGAAUUCUCCGUGAAGAUGCGGAGUACCCGCGGUUAGACGGAAAGACCCCGUGCACCUUUACUGCAGCUUCAGAGUGGCUGUGGGAAACAACUGUGUAGAAUAGGUGGGAGGCUUUGAAACUCGGGCGCCAGCUCGAGUGGAGCCACAAUGUGAAAUACCACCC
rnacentral:rRNA from 11 species